AAUCAUUUACUAGAUAAACGUCUACUGAAUAUCUACAAUGUGCCAGGCACUUGCUUACCCGGAAUAAAGAAUGGGACUAAAAUGGAGGACAAUACAGACCUGGACCUUAGAUUUCUAAUGAGGGAGAGAAUGUACUGUUCAGACCGACGUGAGGAUUCAAUCCACUGAACAGUUACAUGCCAUGAUGUAAAUUAAUAGAUUCGUAUUCUGAUUUUAUCAUCUGCUUCAUCUGAGCUCUGUGGGCGUGAGUCAGCAUCCCCAAGUCUAAUCAACACGGACACUGAGAAUAGCAAGCUUCUGAGCUGAAAAACGAAGAACGAGACCCAGGACCAGAGUGAAAUCACCAAGGUAACACUGCCCUGGAGGCCUCUUGGCCUGAUGGAGAAGGCCUUCCUACAUGUCAUGCGAUACGGGCAGGGAUUAAAAUUGACUUUUGACAUUUUAAA